AUCAAAUCCUGUUUACAAGAAGAUCCCUGUCCUCAUUCACAACGGCAAAUCACUGUGUGAGUCACAUGUCAUCCUUGAGUAUAUUGACGAGACAUGGAAGCAGUAUCCUUUGCUGCCACAAGAUCCUCAUGACAGAGCCAAGGCACGCUUCUGGGCAAAAUUUGGAGAUGAUAAGGUACACAAACAAUCCUUUACUUCGAUCAAAUAUAUAUGUAUAUACCUUGUAUGUAUUUACCUGUCCGUUGAUUCCAUCAGGUGCUGCCGACAAUACAGUCUUCAUUUAAAACCCAAGGACAAGAGCAAGAGGAAGCUCUGGCUGCAGCCGCUGAAAACUUGAACUUCUUAGAAGAAGAGCUGCUAGGAAAGAAAUUUUUUGGUGGAGAC
rnacentral:lncRNA from 1 species